GUGGCAGGAAGGCGGCCCUGAAAGUUUGAGUCCAGACAUGUCCAGUGUUUUAGGAUAUAUCAGAUGAGUAAGAGUGCAUUUACCCUUCACUACGUCUCCACAGAAAGUUGCUUUGGGUUUGGAAGUACACACACACGCCCUGCCGCCGAGACAGGUCAAGAGCUGGAAACCACAGGAAGCCUGGCCGGAACGAAGAGGCUGGAUUCUGCUACAGUCAGGACUUGCUCCUGAUGAGCUUCAGGUUUACCUGCACUAAUUCUCCAGAUGAUUAUACAGCAUCCAGUACACAACAAAGACUACAUUUUGAACUCGAUGUAAUCUUUACUCUGUUAAUACUUGUUACAUGGACCCAAAGAUAUUACAGAGUUUUUAAUUAGUUAAAAAUUCAUGAAUACCAUAGAGAAAAUAUUUUAGAAUUUAAUGUU
ensembl:lncRNA